GAUGAACGCUGGCGGCGUGCCUAAUACAUGCAAGUCGAGCGAAGCGGGGACGGGGGAGUAACACGUGGGUAACCUCCUUUAAGACUGGGAUAACUUAGGGAAACCGGAGCUAAACCGGCUUCUUAUAGCUGGAUCCGCGCGGCAUUAGCUAGUUGGUAAGGUAACGGCUCACCCAGGCAACGAUGCCUAGCCGACCUUAGAGGAUGAUCGGCCACACUGGAACUGAGACACGGUCCAGACUCCUACGGGAGGCAGCAGUAGGGAAUAUUCCGCAAUGGGCGAAAGCCUGACGCAGCAACGCCGCGUGAGUGAUGAAGGUCUUCGGAUCGUAAAACUCUGUUAUCAGGGAAGCGGUACCUACUCAGAAAGCAACGGCUAACUACGUGCCAGCAGCCGCGGUAAUUC
rnacentral:rRNA from 1 species